GUAGACACAUUCCAGCCAAUCAGCAGCAGACCCUCCCUCCCAGAUCCUCCCACCUCCUGGACAGCUCACUAAGAAUGCAGCUUCAAAAUGGAUGCUGUCCAGGAGUUGGGAGGGUCUGGGAGGGAGGGUCUGCUGCUGAUUGGCUGGAAUGUGUCUG